CAUAAUUCUAAAUAAAUAAAAAAUAAAAGAAUAUUUUAAUUAUUUUUAUAAUAAGAAUUAAUGGCUAACGAGUUCGGAAAUGCAUUGUUGCUAGAGGACGCGGAGGUAUUCUCUAGAGGACUCAUUAAUUUAAUAAUGUGUUCAAGAGAGGGAGGCGUUGGCGCGAGUGAAGACGCGUUACUUCCGCCGGAAGCGAGCGCGCCGGACGCGACUGACGUGCGCCUGCCCUUGCACUGCACUGAUGGUGAGAAAGCAAUAUUGAAGUCAUAUAUAACUUUAAUGCAGCAAUAUAUUCAGUUAGUUGAAAAAAGUCGCCGCCCCCGUGUGCCUUUGUGAUUUAACUCCUUAUAAUGUAACGUUUAGUCAAUAAAAAAUAUUUAUUGA